GUCUACAGCCAUACCACCCUGAAUGCACCUGACCUUGUCCAGUCUCAGAAGAUUAAGCAGGGUGGGACCUGGUACUUGGAUGGGAGACCACCUGGAAUACUGGGUGCUGUAGGCU
rnacentral:rRNA from 1 species